AUGCUGGCUUGGUGCUGCUUUGUUGUGUCCCAGCUGCUCAUCAUAAUAACGCUCAUAUACCUUGUCAUGACCAAGAGCAAGGUCCACGGUGGCACGUGCUCAUCAGAGAUGGUGCCGCUUCCACUUCCGCCGGGGCCAUGGCCAUGUCCACUGGUGGGUAGCCUGCCCGAGAUGGUGCUCAACAAGCCGGCGUUCCGUUGGAUCCAUCGCGUGAUGAAGGAUAUGGGCACUGACAUCGCCUGCUUCCGCCUCGGCAGCGUCCACGUCAUCCCAAUCACAUGUCCCAAGAUCGCAAGGGAGGUGCUCAAGAAGCAAGACAAAAACUUCUCGUCUCGUCCACUCACCUUCGCCUCCGGCACCAUCAGCAGCGGGUACAAGGACGCCGUGCUCUCGCCGUUCGGCGACCAGUGGAUGAAGAUGCGCAAGGUGCUCACCUCUGAGAUCAUCUGCCCCUCCCGUCACAAGUGGCUCCACGACAAGCGCGCCGACGAAGCUGACAACUUGACGCGCUACAUCUACAACCUCACCGUCGGGGGGUCGUCAUCUUCAACAUCGGGACUAGCCAACGUCAAUGUCAGGCACGUCGCGCGACAUUACUGCGGCAACGUUAUCCGUCAGCUUGUCUUCGGCCAACGAUACUUCGGGGAGCCUCAGCCGGACGGCGGGCCGGGGCCGAUGGAGGUGGAGCACAUGGACGCUUCCUUUGCCCUCCUAGGGUUCACCUUCGCGUUCUGCGUCAGUGACUACCUCCCGUGUCUACUUGGCCUAGAUCUCGACGGCCACGAGAAAAUUAUUAAGGAGGCCAACACAAAAGUGGAUAGACUGCAUGAUGUGGUCAUCGAAGAGCGUUGGAGGCAGUGGAACAGCGGCGAGAGGCAGGACGGGGUCCAGGACUUCCUUGACGUUCUCAUCACGCUUGCCGACGGUGACGGCAAGCCGUUGCUCAACAUCGAUGAGGUUAAAGCACAGUCCAAGGGCAUAAUAUUAGCGGCCAUAGAUAACCCGUCAAACGCAGUGGAGUGGGCACUGGCGGAGAUGGUGAACAACCCAGAAUUGCUGGCCAAGGCAGUGGAGGAGAUGGACUGGCUCAACUAUCUCAAGGCGUGCAUACGUGAGGCAUUUCACCUCCACCCAAUCGCUCCCUUCAACCUACCGCACGUCGCGAUUGUCGACACCAUUGUUGCGGGCUACCGCGUGCCCAAGGGUAGCAACGUCAUCCUCAGCCGGCUGGCCCUGGGCCGGAACCCCACCGUCUGGGAUGAACCGCUCCACUUCAAGCCAGAGCGCCAUAUGGGAGACAACAUCAAUGUGGUGCUUACCGAGAGCGAAUUGCGUGUCAUGCUCUUUGGCAGGCUCCUGCAUGGCUUCACCUGGACCAAACCGGUUGGGGUGUCGGCCAUCAAUCUCAGCGAGUCCAAGCACAACCUCUUCAUAGAGAAUCCGCUAGUGCUACAUGCUGAGCCACGUCUUCCAGUGCACCUCUACCCUCUCAUGCAUGUUUGA
rnacentral:rRNA from 1 species